AUUGAACGCUGGCGGCAGGCUUAACACAUGCAAGUCGAGCGGAGAGAGGUAGCUUGCUACUGAUCUUAGCGGCGGACGGGUGAGUAAUGCUUAGGAAUCUGCCUAUUAGUGGGGGACAACAUUUCGAAAGGAAUGCUAAUACCGCAUACGUCCUACGGGAGAAAGCAGGGGAUCUUCGGACCUUGCGCUAAUAGAUGAGCCUAAGUCGGAUUAGCUAGUUGGUGGGGUAAAGGCCUACCAAGGCGACGAUCUGUAGCGGGUCUGAGAGGAUGUUCCGCCACACUGGGACUGAGACACGGCCCAGGCUCCUACGGGAGGCAGCAGUGGGGAAUAUUGGACAAUGGGCGCGAGCCUGAUCCAGCCAUGCCGCGUGUGUGAAGAAGGCCUUAUGGUUGUAAAGCACUUUAAGCGAGGAGGAGGCUACUUUAGAUAAUACCUAGAGAUAGUGGACGUUACUCGCAGAAUAAGCACCGGCUAACUCUGUGCCAGCCGCCGCCGUAAUAC
rnacentral:rRNA from 1 species